GACGAACGCUGGCGGCGUGCUUAACACAUGCAAGUCGAACGGGCCUGUCUUCUUUUUUGGGGGGUGGGUUGAGUGGCGAACGGGUGAGUAUCACGUGAGUAACCUGCCCUUCGGUCCUGGAUAACCGCUUGAAAGGGCGGCUAAUACGGGGUGGUCCGGUUGGUCCGCAUGGGCUGGUCGGGAUAGAUUCACUGUUUUUGGUGUUUCGGCGGGGGAUGGGCUCGCGGCCUAUCAGCUUGUUGGUGGGGUGAUGGCCUACCAAGGCGGUGACGGGUAGCCGGCCUGGGGGGGUGGGCGGCCACACUGGGACUGAGGUACGGCCCAGACUCCUGCGGGAGGCAGCAGUGGGGGGUAUUGCACAAUGGGCGGAAGCCUGAUGCAGCGACGUCGCGUGAGGGAUGGAGGCCUUCGGGUUGUGAACCUCUGUUUCCGGUGGUGAAGGCCCUGUCCGUGUGGUGGGGUUGACGGUAGCCGGGGAUGAAGCGCCGGCUAACUACGUG
rnacentral:rRNA from 1 species